CCCCUAGAUGUCCUGGGCCGCACGCGCAAUACAAUGUAAAGUUCAGAAAGCAUAUCCUGUUCCGGAAGGCAAUGGGUAAUCUUUUCAAUAUUUUACGUGUUGGGGAUCGAUCUUUGCAAUUAUAGAUCUUGAACGAGGAAUACCUAGUAAGUGCAGCUCAUCAGGCUGUACUGAUUACGUCCCUGCCCUUUGUACACACCGCCCGUCGCUCCUACCGAUUUCGAGUGGUCCGGUGAAUCUUUUGGAAUUAGAGUGCAAACUCAAACUAAGAUCGAUAAACCUUAUCACUUAGAGGAAGGAGAAGUCGUAACA
rnacentral:rRNA from 1 species